rnacentral:rRNA from 1 species
UGGGGAAUAUUGGACAAUGGGCGAAAGCCUGAUCCAGCCAUGCCGCGUGUGUGAAGAAGGUCUUCGGAUUGUAAAGCACUUUAAGUUGGGAGGAAGGGCAUUAACCUAAUACGUUAGUGUUUUGACGUUACCGACAGAAUAAGCACCGGCUAACUCUGUGCCAGCAGCCGCGGUAAUACAGAGGGUGCAAGCGUUAAUCGGAAUUACUGGGCGUAAAGCGCGCGUAGGUGGUUUGUUAAGUUGGAUGUGAAAUCCCCGGGCUCAACCUGGGAACUGCAUUCAAAACUGACUGACUAGAGUAUGGUAGAGGGUGGUGUAAUUUCCUGUGUAGCGGUGAAAUGCGUAGAUAUAGGAAGG